CGAGCGGCGGGAGCUGCUGCGCUCCGCCUCCGGGGCACGCGGCAGGAGAGCACCGGGCCGGGGGCGGGAGCGGGAGGAGAUCUCCGGGCAGGGCUCGUUCUGCGUGGCUGAAGGCUUCGUCGCUUGCGGGGGCGGGGGGGGCCGAGGCCCCGCAGCCGGCCGGCGGUCGGUCGGUGGCUGAGGGAGCUGACUGGGAGCGGAGGGGCUCCUCACCCCGGGUUUGCAAAUGGUUCCUUAUUCCCGACGGGCAGGGACAGGAGCUUGGUUACUAACCUCAGUAGAAACAAGCCGUUGCUGGGAGGGACAGGAGCAGCUAAACCACAUUCAGCAGAACCUCUGAGUAAACUUAUUUCUGGGAAAUUUGAUGUAGGCAGGUGAGCAGCGUAUCUUCUUUAUCCUGUAUCAUGAUUCCCUCAACCACCUGUGAAAGCAACGCUCGCACCUUGCUCUGCAAGCUGAUGUCUGACCCGUAGGCUUUUCCACAAAUUUGUAAUGUUAGCGGUAACACCUGUCUUGCUGGAGACAUAGAAGGAAACUUCUCAACGUGACUUUGGGCUAGGAAAGCUGGAAAGGCAAUAUCAAGUGAGAUAACUAAAAAAAAAAAAAGACAAACCACACAACCCCCGGUGUAAUAAAAAGGAUUGCAAAAGCAGCAGUAAUACACCACUCUUGAGACUUGCUGCCUUUAGACACUUCUCUAAAUGAAGGGUGACUGGAAGAGAACCUAAAGGAGAGCAUCAAGAACAAGCAGAGAUUUCAGAAGUGUUUCCUAUGAGAGUAGAGUAAUGGGAAAGGACUGGAAAUUAUAUCUUCUAGAGCUGAUUGAGGGGGGAAAAUAGAAUCCAUAUGUAGACAGUUGCUGCAAAGAGGAUGUGGUGAUGGGAAAAGAAGUGAUUGGCUUGCAUUGCAGCAGGGGAGGUUUAGUUCAGGCACUGGAAAACACUUUAAUGGUAAGGAUAAUCAAGCACGGAAAGACAUCACUACCAAAAGUGGUAGAAUUUCUGAGAGUGGUCGUGAGUUGCAUAAACACUUCUCGGGUGUGGUUUAGUUAGCACUGAUUUUGAUCUGUAGAGAAUGAACUAGAAGACCCUUCUGUUUUAUGUGAAUCAAUCUGACAGAUCUGAUUAUGAAGAUGCAAUAUGUUUAUAUGUGCAAGGGAAAAUACGUAUUCCCAAAUGACUAUUUUAUACAUGAAAUUUUCUUUCUAUCUUAUAAACAAGUGUUCACGAGCUGAACAGAACAUCAGUUUACAAAAUCAGAACAGACUUGAUCGAGAGGGAAGCCAAGCCUAAGCUAACAUAUUAGUCAUCCUGUUCACUAUGAACACAUGAGUCUUUUGGCCAUUGUGUAGCCUUAUGGAGCAUUCAUUUUAUGACAUAAAGUGAAGAUUAACAUUGAACAAUAGCAGAAUGUAAGCAGAAUACAAGUCCUAUAACAUGUGCCUUCUAGCCUACACAGUCACUGUGUUGCUGAGGUUUUUCUUGCAAGUCCUGUAGGAUUUCUUUCAUCUAAAAAGAAGUUCAGUUUUAUAUUGGAAUGUAUACCUAAUCCAGUGUUAGCUAUCUUCAUAAAGAAGUUUGUCAGCAGGAACUAACAUGUCAAGAUAGAAGUGAAAAAUAUCAAAGUAUUUUAAUGGGGCAAAACUUAAUGUGGCAGCUAUUAGGUAAUAACUCUGGUUCCAAAAAGUAAAGUGAGCUUCUUCACAGAAUUGUGAGUGUAUCUUCAGUUGAACCUUGUUGCAAAAAUUAUUUCUGGAAAACUUGUAUGAAAAAUAAUCAAUAUUGGACUUUUUGUAAUUAGGGUUUGACCCUGAGAAGUGCUGAGCACAAUAUUUAAUCAUCUAUUGUUUAUGUCAGUGCAGUUUAAUGACUUUGAACAUUUUAACCUAUGAUUGCCACCUGCCAAAUUCAAGGUUUUAUGGCACUAGCAGUCAACAAACUCUGAAGGUGGAAUUGACAUAACAUUUAUUUGUUCAUUAGUAGAUAUUGCAUAACAGGAAUUUAAAAUGUAAAUACUAACAAAUAUGCCUAUUUUCAAACAUAUCUGAAUGGGAUUAGUAGGGUUUCUUUCAGAACUUUAUAGUCAACUAUAUAGAUACAAGUUGUCUAGCAAGCAUUAUCUUGGAAAACAACUUGAAGGACAGGCAUACUUUAGUAUACCUUUUAGUCAUACCACUUUAAUUUCUGGUCUCAUCAGUUAAAAAGAUUCUGGCAAAGAUAAUACUUGUAUAGAAGUGCUAUAGAAAGCAGUGCUAUUCAUUCAGCAGCAGUACAUAGGAACAGUAUGGCCAGUGUUCCUGCAUCAUGGUUUGAAUGACCUGAACACUGGAUGUUUUAUAAAAGGUGCCCUAAAGCAAAGAGACCUAGCAGCAUAUCAGUGAUUGAGAUUAUCUAAACCACUUUGCCACAUUAUAAUAAUUUAAUUCAGUAAGCGAACAAAGUGGAUGGUGUGUUUGUUCUCCCCUUGCUCACCCCACCCUUCCCAAUUGCCUUACUUUUUAAUAACCUUAGGUGAAAGGCAACUGACUUUUGUUUAUUAGCAAGAAGGUAGUUGUACUAAUCUUCAGUUUUUACUGAUAUAAGCUGCCCAGAUAGCUCUGUUUAAGAAACUUAAUUACGAGGGGCGGGGGGAAAUUACUCUUCUAAUUAAAGUUGAGAAGCAGAGAUAAAGCAUUCAAUAUCUCUGAAAGUACUGAGACUACCUUACUCAUUCUGUGUUAUGUUUCAACGUUAGUUUUCCACUGUACAACAUCAUUGCAGAGGGCAGACUCUCUUGGCAAGUCAUAGGAUAGGUAGCAGCAGGAAAGCAAAACAUUACAACAUGUGUAGCUUCAUGUUAAUACCAUAUCCUUACUCGGGAAUAAUAAAUAUCUGUGGAGAAAAGCCUCACAUAAAAAUAUGGACCACUUUGACUCAGGAUACUCAUACAAUAAUGAAAAUGCUCCCAAAUGCUACAAAAUCCCUUUAUUGGGCAUGGCUAGAAAUUUAGAAUCAGAUGCCUUAAAAGAUGUGAAUAGUAGUUAGUUCAA